UUAAGGAUGAAUAAAGCAGGCUACACUUACAGGGUCUUGGACUGUGUCUGUGGAACCCUGGUUUUGAAAGGGCUUCUUUGUCACGGCAAUUUAAUCAGCAGAAGGUCAAAUUUGUCACUGCUUCCUUCUGCUCCCCAAGCAAUCCUUGCAUGGCUAACUUCUCUGAGGUGCUGGUAGCGGAGGCAACUCUUCAGGAGAGUGAUGGCCCUGGGGGAUAUUGCAAGCACAAAUGAACUCUUCUGAUUAAGUGAGUGUGCCACCGAGUGCUUUGCUUCGGGGCUUGCUUCUUCAUUGAGGUGGCACGAAACAAAUAGGAGCAUCCAGUUUUCCGUGCCCAGGUACACCCUACCCAGUGGUGCUCCUGAUCUUGAAGGAUAAAAAGAGGGUUUGCAGCUGGAGGAGGGUGUAGGACUGAGGUUCUCUGGCACCUGCAAUGAGCAGUGAGCAAGGAGGAGGCAGGGGUGGAGAAAGGACUGAAGUGUUAUGAAAGUUAUAACCUCUCCUUGCCCUGCUUUCCUAUGAAAACGGGUGUUUCUAAUCUUCUGGAAACAACAAAGCUCCCACUUUACUGUUAAAUUGAUCGUUGCUUCCCUACUGGAGCGCUGUAGCCCGUGGACACCGUCUCCCAGCCGUGCAAGCCGAGUGGCCCAAGCAGUGAGGGUGAGGAUGAGCAGGCCCCAACCGCUGCAAGGCGUUGUACACGUGUGCAGACUGUCGGGAUUCAUUUGGCAUUUCGACAGAAACAUUUUAAGAUGAAGUGAAGAAGCUCCUGGCAGGAGACUGGGCAUGGUCCAACACCAGCUAUCGGGGCUGUCGGUCCUGCUGAGGUUGGUUAAGAGCAGGACCAACUCUUGUAGGACUUUCAUCUCCAAGCACUAGGCUGUAACAUUUUCUGACUGGUUGGUGCCUGACUAAAAUCCCUUUUUUGAAUCGAUCAGAGGAAUGAAUCUUUGCAACCCUGCUUAGAAACAACAUAAGCUGUUGCCUCCUUGCCCUGCUGGACAGCAAAGCCAGAGCUGAGCCAGACGCCCCUGACAUGGUACGCAGCCACAGCGCCGAUGGAAAUGAGCAGCACGGCACAGCACGGGACUUUGAUAAACACUAAAAAUAGUGCAGCGCUUCGAUUGCUCCCUAAUCUUCAUUUGCAAAUGGUAUGAGAAUGUCCAUGUAAUUUCUAUUGGAAGUGUUUUUGCAGUGUAACUGCAUGCUUUCCGCAGUCCAGCUGCACUCCCACUAGAUGCGGGGCCGGUUCUGCAUUUCUCCUGCAGUGCUUGUGCAGAGCCCAUGGCUCUGGUGCCUGGCGCUCUCCACAGGCACCAUUUGCACAGAGCAUGCAUGCUCCCAGCAGCACUUAGGAUCUAGGAAAUUGUGGUUUUCUUCCUAGAGCCACCCUUUAUGAACUGGGAAGAUCCCUGGGCUGAGUGGAGGGUUGCUGGGGUACAGGGCAUGACUGGCUCAUCGACUCCAGAGUUGUUUCAGUCAUGGCACUCAAGAGCUGAAGCUGUGCCAAGUGCCUCGCCAGGCCUCACACUUCCUCUCUCUUCCACAGGCAUUACAGCACGAGCUCAUAAUAUUUUCCCCAAAGCCUGCUUUUAAUUAAUGUAUGCAGUUUUGUUGUCUGGCCAGGACAUGGCAAAUCUUAGGUGUCAUUAGUUAAUACCUGCUGUGCUCCAUUUCCCGAUGAUGCUGUAUUUUUUUCUAAAGCAAUUCAUUUCUCACUUUGAGACUAUCCUGUGGACAUGCUUUGUUCAAAUUCAAGAUGUUAUUUGUGUACAAAAAUGGUCACGGUGUACCAUUUGAAAAGGAGCUAAUGUGAUAGCAAACAAAUGGAGUGUGUAAAAAAAAAAAAAAAAAAAAAAAAAAUUACUUAGGAUGCUGUGUGAUUUCCUCUUCUUUAAUACAGCAUGAAUAUGCCAAGGAGAUUUGUGCCCAGUGGAAAUCAGCAGGCUGGAAUUAGGCGAUGUUUACUGACAGGGAUUAAUCCUCAUACAGGUGGUGCGGAGUGAGGCUGGUUAGACUGUGGGGCAUUUCCCUGCAAAUGAACCAGUGUCAGGCCAGUCAUAAUGAGGCAGGGAAGGGGUAUUUAGUGAAUGACAGCAUCGCAUAAACUCAUCUGGUAGGAAGAGUGCCAAAUAAUCUCAGCAAUCUUUUCCAUCUUGAACACAUACAUUUUGGUACAUAGAGCUUAUAUUUGGCAAAGGGGAAGGGAGAUGUAGGUGUCAUUAAUAAUUAAGAGAUUUUAAUGAAAGUUUGAAUGGAUUUGUGAACCACUGAACAUGUAUUCUGAGCACUUUGAGUGGCAUUUCCAUUACACACACAAAUGCCCUAAUUGGCAAUCGGGUCUGAGAGCACUGCGCUUGCUGUCAAGCAGCCACCAGCCUUCUGGGGAGAUGUGGCUGAUGCUGGCAGAGUGAAUUAAAGAAAACAACUUCUUUCUCCACGUCCUGAAAUUGCUGGUUAUAAUUCUGUUUGUUCUCUUUGUUUGAAAACCUUUGAGUAGUUCUUACGUGUAGUUAAUAUUUACAGCAUGAUCGGUGUUUCUCAUUCCUGUAGCUUCAGCAGUGCACAGCAGCAAACUGAAUGAUGGAGUUUCCUAAGGCAGCAAGGGAGAGGAGCAGGUCCAGCUCUUUGUGAAUGCAGCAGUAUCCUGUAGGGAAUAUAUUCUUAAAAUUCUUUUACCUGUGACUUUUGCUCUAAAUUUUAUAUCUUCCCAACAGAGACUUCCACAGCCUGAUAUCUCCCAUGCUCAAAAGUUUCCUGCAAGCCAGAGAAAUAACUCUAUUCCAUGCCUAGCCUUUUUUUUUUUUUUUUUUUUUUUGGACUGAGCUCCGAAGUAUUUUCUACCUGAUCAGCUUAUCCUUUAGAGUUGUAUCACACAUUCUGCAUUCUUGUUUCCAGUUCUUUGUUGAAGCCUGCAUUUAUUUAUCUGUUUUUUUUAUUUUUUUUUAACAGGAAGUGGGGAUAAUAUGCUUUAACUUUUGGUUAGCCCUGAAGAGGUCAGGCAGUUGAACUGGAUGAUCUUUGAAAGUCCCUUCCAACUGAACUUUUCUAUUCUAAUCAAGAAAUGAGAUAAAAAGGAAAAAAAUCAUUCGUUACCUGGAGGAACUUAAGAAAAGGGAGAAGAGACUGGCACCUCCCUUUUAUCACUUUUGUUGCCCUCCUCUGGAUGCUGUCAAGGACCUUAACAUCCUUUUGAUAUUGUGGGGCCCAGAACCGCACACAGUACUCAAGGUGAGGCCACAGCAGUGCUGAAUCUAGUGGGCUAAUCUCUUCUUCUGGCCAGCUGUCUGUGCCAUAUUUAAUGCACCCCAAAAUGCGGUUUGCUCUCCUGGCUGCCGGGGCACGGUGCUGGUUCACAUGGAGCUGCUGCUGAUGUGGGCGUCCCAGCUGCCAGCUGUGAUGGUUGUGUACCCAACCAGAGCCGGGGCUGCCAGCCAUUAUUUAUUGCACGGUAUAUCCACAAACGAGGCACAUGCACCACUGAACUUCUGUGUGUGCGUGUACAUUUUACUUUCACAUUUUCUAUAUUGUAAAAUCAUUCCUAAGGCUGUUGUAGGCACUGCGGGCCAACCGUCAUGCUCCUGGCUGCAGCUCCUGGCACAGGGCAGAAGCCAGACCCCGUCGGGAGCCGGGCAGCAGCUCCGUAGCGGUGCUGCUGCUGCAUGGCCCUGCCGGCGCUCCGAAAUGGAGGCAAGCGGGGGGAAAAUCCUAACCUGAUUGUGGUGGAAUAAAGGACAUAAAAGUGAUAGAUUGCUUUGUGUAUUUUUCAUAUCAUGUGCUCAUG